GUUCCAAAAGCAUUUUGAUCGUGGAGGCAGCUGGCACGGGGAGCUUUAAAUUGCAUCCAAAAAGUGCAGAGUCAAAUCAGAAGUGAGGAACUGGAAAGAGGAGAAUCACAGCUUUGAAAAAACAACAACCAAAAACUCAAUUUCCUGUUCAAACAAUCCAGUCUUGCAGCUGAGAAGGAAGUUCAUGGAAGGUAUCCCUUAAAGAAUUUGCCUCAUCUCAGAGCUUCUUCCAAG
rnacentral:lncRNA from 1 species